rnacentral:rRNA from 1 species
GACAGAGGUGCCAAGCGUUAGGCGGAAUCACUGGGCUUAAAGCGUGUGUAGGCGGAUCGUUAAGUACCUUGUGAAAUCCCACGGCUCAACCGUGGAACUGCUGGGUAUACUGGCGGUCUUGAGCCACCUAGGGGCAACUGGAACAAGCGGUGGGAGCGGUGAAAUGCGGUAGAUAUCGGCUUGGAACGCCAACGGGUGAAAACAGGUUGCUGGGGGUGUGCUGACGCUGAGACACGGAAAGCCAGGGGAGGCGAACGGG